rnacentral:rRNA from 1 species
UACGGAGGGGGGUUAGCGUUGUUCGGAAUGACUGGGCGUAAAGCGCGCGUAGGCGGAUCGGAUAGUUGGGGGUGAAAUCCCGGGGCUCAACCCCGGAAUGGCCUUCAAAACUCCCGGUCUAGAGUUCGAGAGAGGUGAGUGGAAUUCCGAGUGUAGAGGUGAAAUUCGUAGAUAUUCGGAGGAACACCAGUGGCGAAGGCGGCUCACAUGGCUCGAUACUGACGCUGAGGUGCGAAAGCGUGGGAGCAAACAGG